GUUUAAGUCAAGCGAAGCAACAAGGGAAUCAAGACCGAGGUGUUAAGGAAGAGAGUUCAAGUCAAGCGAAGCAACAAGGGAAUCAAGACCGAGGUAAAUCACAAGUUUAGCUUUCAAGCUUCGCUCGGUUCGAACACACUUCAAGGCCCGUCUCAUGUUCCGCUACUUUUGUAAAGAAGACAAAUGUUUAAUAUUAUGGUUGCUUUGUCUAU